rnacentral:rRNA from 1 species
AGCGAACAUUGGCGGUAGGCUUAACACAUGCAAGUCGAGCGAGGCGUAAUAGUCGAGCGGCGAACGGGUGCGUAAUACAUGGGAAUCUACCCUGAAGUGGGGGAUAACGUUCAGAAAUGGACGCUAAUACCGCAUAAUCCACAUUGGGAAAGCGUUGCAGCGCUUUAGGAUGAGCCCAUGGCUGAUUAGCUAGUUGGUGAGGUAAUGGCUCACCAGGGCGACGAUCAGUAGCUGGUCUGAGAGGAUGACCAGCCACACUGGAACUGAGACACGGUCCAGACUCCUACGGGAGGCAGCAGUGGGGAAUCUUGCGCAAUGGGGGCAACCCUGACGCAGCCAUACCGCGUGAGUGAUGAAGGUCUUCGGAUUGUAAAGCUCUUUCGGCGGGGACGACGAUGACGGUACCCGCAAAAGAAGUCACGGCUAACUUCGUGCCAGCCGCCGCGGUAA